GUGCAGCAGGCGCGAAACCUCCGCAAUACACGAAAGUGUGACGGGGCCAUCCCGAGUGCCGUCCGCUGAGGACGGCUUUUCCCCAGUGUACACAGCUGGGGGAAUAAGGAGAGGGCAAGCCUGGUGUCAGCCGCCGCGGUAAUACCAGCUCUCCGAGUGGUGGGGACGCUUAUUGGGCCUAAAGCAUCCGUAGCCGGCUGGGCAAGUCCUCCGUUAAAUCCAACGAUUCAAUCGUUGGGCUGCGGGGGAUACCUGUCCAGCUUGGGGGGCGGGAGAGGGCCGACGGUA
rnacentral:rRNA from 1 species